AGUCUAGUGGGAGAUGUGGCUGGGGCUAAGAGGAAGAGCUGCAGUUUCCUGGGCCAAAGAGCUGAGUUGGACAGGGAGAUGGCAGCUUACCAAGGCCUGCUGGUUCUCAGCUCUAGAGUCUGCCUUAUGGUCCGAGCAGGAUUUAUUUUUAAGAACAGAGCAAGUUACGUGGAAGCAAGGAAGGUUUUGAGGACAGAGGUUUGGGUCUCCUAACUUCUAGUCGGGACUGUGAGAAGGGCGUGAGAGAGUGUUGGCACCUGUAAGCGCGGGUCCAAGCCUGUAGCCCCAAAUCGGAUAAUCUCUGCAGCUGAUAACAAGCAAAAGAGAAGCCAGGCAACAGCCAUAUUAAAGAAGAAAACAAUCAACUCUGAGAUCCAACUUAGAAAUAAUGUUUCAUUCAAGAUAAGGCUCGUGGCUUAGGAGAUUGUGACCUGGCUUGCAUCAUUCUAAGACUUCUAUCGUCUGUUUUCAAAACCCAAGGAGGACCUCCUUUUCUGUGUGAUAGUUCCUCAUGCUUUGCCAGCCACUGGGUCUUUAAGGAAGCUUGCCAAGAGUUCCCGGCUGGGAAGGACAGUUCGAGUUCAUCAUAGACAAUGAGCUGGCACCACAGUUUAAGUGACUCACCAACCUGGUUGCCCACUUCAAAAUGUCAAGAACCACACUAUCUAAUUGAAAGAACUGUGUUUUAGCAAAGUGUAAUUGGAUCGCCUGGCAAGAUCAUCUCAAACUAUGUCUCUGACCUUGCCUUUCAGUGGCUAUUUUGAGCACAAGAGGAGAAAGGAAAUGAUUCCUGAAUUAUAUCUUGUUUUUAAAAAUUAAGAUUAAUUAAUACUUGGUUUUAUGUUCAUUCCAUUGUAGGAACUUAGUGAUUAUUACAAAACAGUCAAAAUAGGUCAUAGCAAAAUGAACGUUUAAGAUUAGGUUAAAACAUUCCUCUGAAAUUUUAGUAUUCACUUUUGAAGUGUCAAUUACUAUAUUUCUGUAAUUUCUCAUUUUUUUCUUGGCUUAGAGUCAAGAUGAAAAAUGAUAUUUGAAUCAAAGACAUUGUUUUGUUAUAUAGCCACUCCUUUCUAAAAUGCAAAUCCACCCUCCCCUCACCAAUGCUUUAUUCUUUGUGCGCGCACACACACACACACACACACACACACACACACACACACACAGACAUACACAGAACCAGCACCCAAAUGGUAGAGGAGGUCCUUCCAAGACUUCUAGGACCUGGAUCAUGUAAGCAGUAGAUGAGAAAAUGAAGUAAGAGAUAUAGAGUAAUAACAAUAAAAGUCAAUGAUUUCAUUUUACAAAAAAGUCAUUGUGUAGUACUCAGAUAUUUUUAAGAGCAAGUAUUAUUAUGACUAAAGUAUAUUAUACUUCUAAAUUAUUAUGAUUCUCAUCUAAUUUCAAGCCACACAUAGGCGCCAUUUGAAAGCAUUUUGUGUUACAACCUAUCAACAAAAAUCAACUAAUAGUUUUAUAACGUGCAUAGGUUUACCCCAUGGGGAAUUAAAAUUUUUAUCUGCAAGUAUUUCUGUUGUUGUGAGACUUUAGGACAAGACAACAUUUGGUGUUAACAUAGAAGAAUAUUCUAUGGCUUUUUUAGCUUUAAAGUUCAUUACUCUAAAAUAAAGUACACGUGGUAUUUUUUUCUUCCUAGUGUUCUCUUAUUAUAUGUAGAGUAUUUUCGGUUGUUGUUUUUAACGUAUACAUUAUUUUUAUUAAGUCAUUUCAUAAAAGAUAAGAUAUAUACUAAUAGACCCUUGGUUUUCUCCUAAUUUAAUUAUUUCAAGUCAAGCAAAAUUGGGCAAUUUUCUUUCAGGAAAAAAAAAAUAUUGAGCAUGAUUUUGAGGUAAAACUGAUUAUUUACAGCAUCUUUUCUCUAAUAGGCUAACAUUUAUGAUGGAUCUUAUUUCAAAGUUGAUUAUUCUCAAAGAAAAGUGGAGAUAUUAGAAUUUCCGAGUAAAUUGCAUUGUUUUAAAAAGUACUUUAAUGCAUUGUUCACAUUGUUGCCAGCUAUUGACCAAAAAAGAGAAGAAGAAAAAAGAAAUAAAAAAAGCAGUAUCUGCUCCAAACGUCAAGUUUUGCAGUUUGAAAGAC
ensembl:lncRNA SOX2-OT SOX2 overlapping transcript